rnacentral:rRNA from 1 species
ACUCGAGUGGCGAACGGGUGAGUAACACGUGGGUGAUCUGCCCUGCACUUCGGGAUAAGCUUGGGAAACUGGGUCUAAUACCGGAUAGGAGCCAUCUUUAGUGUGGUGGUUGGAAAGUUUUUCGGUGUAGGAUGAGCUCGCGGCCUAUCAGCUUGUUGGUGGGGUAAUGGCCUACCAAGGCGGCGACGGGUAGCCGGCCUGAGAGGGUGUACGGCCACAUUGGGACUGAGACACGGUCCAG